CAUUCUAUUUUCUACUCUAAAAUAGAGUACCAUUAGAGAAAACUCAAACUCUAUUAUAGAGUUACUCUAUUUUAUAGUAAAAAAUAGAGUAAACCAUUGAAGAUAGUCUAAUGUUGUUUUUCAACUAUAUAUUUGGAGUAUAAAAACAACUCUACUCUAUAUUUCACUUUAUUAUAGAGUGAACCAUUGGAGCAAAUUCAACUUUAUAAUAGAAUUACUCUGUUUUAUAGUGAAAUAUAGAGAAAUUUAUUGCGUAUCUAAUCUCUGUUUUAUAGUGAAAUAUAGAGAAAUUUAUUGUGUAUCAUUAGAUAUGCCAUUGGAGUGAAAUAUUGAGAAACUCACUACUAUCAUACUAACAAUUUUCUUAUGAAGCAAACCAAAUAUUCAAUUAAUUGAGCUCGGAGAAUCCGUUUUCGGGAGUAAGCAGAUGUGGGUGUGGUUUAUGGGAGGGUCUAAAUGGUUCCAGUGAUGCCUAAAAAAGCCUGCGUUCAUGCCUAAAUUAACUGUAGUUUGUUUUGUUUUUUUUUUUUUUUUUAACUGUAGUUUGUUGUAUCAAGGUGUUUUAAAAGUUGCACAAUGACAAAAAAUAAAAAGAGAUUAAUGAUUUUUGAUAAAGAAAAAGUUAUUUUAAUCAUUUUAAUAUUACAUAUAUAAAGUUUGAAAUAAAUUUAUUAGUUUCAUAUCAGUACCAUAUACUAUGUAAUAAACCACACCCUAUGUGGAGUGAGAUAUUUAUAAAAUAUUUGGUAACAAAAAUAGUUUGGUAAAAAAUACCUUUUCAAAAAUAAUAACAAAAUAUUUACCUAUAUUUUAAUAAUUUGAUAUAAUUAAAAUUCUACAAAUAUUUUUUUUUAAAUUCAAUUUAAGUAUCAUGCAUAUUUCUAAAAUUUCAAAACUAAUAUAUUUAUAUAUGUUAUCUGGUAUAUAGUUUAAUUUAGAAGAUGUUAAAAUAAAAUAUUUUAUAUGAAUAUCUAUUAAAUGAAUUUUUGUAUUCAUAUGGUUUUAUGAUCAUUUGUAUCUUACUAUAAAAUUUGUUUUUUAAAUCAUUGAUCAUUAAGUUUUCAAUGUGGAUUUUAAACAGUUUUAGUAAUAUAUAGAUGGUUUUUAAAAAUUAAAAUAUAACAAUUACCAAAAAUCUAAAUUUUUAUUAUUUGGUUAAUGUGAUUUAUCUAUUUUAAUUGUAUAAAUAAAAAAUGAUAGAAGAUAUAUAAAUUGUUAUCAAAUCUGUAUUGUUAUAAAUCAUUUGUUUCAUAUAUAUUUUAAUCACAUUGGAUGACUCAGUAGCUUUUAUUUAAUAAAAUAAGAAAAAAAUCUUUUUUGUAGAUUACUAAAUUAAUUUUAUGGUUAGUUAUAAAGAUGUUUAGAUAGACCGACAUAUUUCUUUAAAGAUGCUUUUCUUAAAAUUUAUUCUAAUAACGACACAUGGCAUAUCUCAAUGUAUUGUAAUAAUUUUCUAUUAAUAUAUAAGAGAUUACUAUGUCAGUUUAGUCAAGUUUCCCUUAAAAGAUUCUUUGUAAAACAAAACUAAUCGGUCAACAUUAUCUUAUUAUAUGUAUAUGAUAAGUCACUGUAUAUAUAUAAAAUCCCUCUUCUUCCAUCAUAACCCUUAACUCUCUGUCUUUCUCUGGAAUAUAUAGUAAUAUUUAUUAGUCUCUUGAAAAAUGAAAUACGCUUUGUGUUUCGUCUCAUUCCUUCUCGUGAUUUCUUUCAUACUUCUCCUUGACACAGAGAUGAAUCUGGUGGAAGCAAGAGUUAAUGGGGAAAGAAGCAAGACUUACGUUAUUUGUGCAAACGAAAGAAUAUGCAACUGGUCCUGCAUCUUUAACGAGCAUUUCGCAAGAGGUCGAUGCCGACACUUAUAUUGUUACUGCUUCCGCUAGCAUUUUUUAAGAUGUGAUCUUCAUAAAUGUUAAUUACCUUAAAAACAUAUUAUAUAUAUAUUUAUAUUCAAAAAAAAAAAAAAAAAAAAACAUAUUAUAUUCUAUAUUAUCCCUUCUAUCCUUGUUAACUAAUUAUAUAUUCAGUUAAUAACAUACUUUAAAUAUUUUAUCUAAACUAUUUCAUAAUUAAAAAUAAUUAAUGUAUUUUAAUAAGAUCUUAAAUUUGACUCUACUUUUUUGUUUUU